ACGAGGACGCGCGUGCGCGCGCGUCAAGUCUUGCGCGCGGGCAGACGUGCGCUGCGCUCACGGUUGGGCGGGAAAGGCCGAGCUGCGACCGCCCUCCGGGUUGCUCUGGCGAGCUCGGCUGCGCGCGGCACCGCCCCCUAUGACGGUGGCCGAGCGGCCCUAGCCGAGGGGCCCGACCGGGCUUGGGGGAGCUCUGAGGCCAUCUCAAUUCCUUCCGAGGCCCGACCCACGUGUUACCUUCUGCCGAGGCUGGGGUCCGGUCCCUGCUCGCAUCUCUCUGCGAAGCCCGGAGCCAGGUUGGAGUAGUGAGUGCCUUUGCACAGACUCUGCGGAGAUACACAUCGCUGAAUCACCUUGCUCAAGAGGCCCGGGCAGUUCUCCAGGACACUUCCCAGAUAAAUCAGAUACUCAGUGACCUAAAUCGAGCGGACUUUGCCAAUGUGCAGCCCCACAAACACAGACCGAAUCAGUUUUCCAAAGGAAGCAGCAUUCACAGGAUCUAGUUUGUGUUCCUGGCAGUGCCGAAG